rnacentral:rRNA from 1 species
UAUUAGGCAAAUCCGGUACUCGUUAAGGCUGAGCUGUGAUGGGGAGAAGACAUUGUGUCUUCGAGUCGUUGAUUUCACACUGCCGAGAAAAGCCUCUAGAUAGAAAAUAGGUGCCCGUACCGCAAACCGACACAGGUAGUCAAGAUGAGAAUUCUAAGGUGAGCGAGCGAACUCUCGUUAAGGAACUCGGCAAAAUGACCCCGUAACUUCGGGAGAAGGGGUGCUCUUUAGGGUUAACGCCCAGAAGAGCCGCAGUGAAUAGGCCCAAGCGACUGUUUAUCAAAAACACAGGUCUCUGCUAAACCGUAAGGUGAUGUAUAGGGGCUGACGCCUGCCCGGUGCUGGAAGGUUAAGAGGAGUGGUUAGCUUCUGCGAAGCUACGAAUCGAAGCCCCAGUAAACGGCGGCCGUAACUAUAACGGUCCUAAGGUAGCGAAAUUCCUUGUCGGGUAAGUUCCGACCCGCACGAAAGGCGUAACGAUUUGGGCACUGUCUCAACGAGAGACUCGGUGAAAUCAUAGUACCUGUGAAGAUGCAGGUUACCCGCGACAGGACGGAAAGACCCCGUGGAGCUUUACUGUAGCCUGAUAUUGAAAUUCGGCACAGCUUGUACAGGAUAGGUAGGA